UACGAAGGGUGCAAGCGUUACUCGGAAUUACUGGGCGUAAAGCGUGCGUAGGUGGUUCGUUAAGUCUGAUGUGAAAGCCCCGGGCUCAACCUGGGAACUGCAUUGGAUACUGGCGAUCUGGAGUGCGGUAGAGGGUGGCGGAAUUCCCGGUGUAGCAGUGAAAUGCGUAGAUAUCGGGAGGAACACCAGUGGCGAAGGCGGCCUUCUGGACCAGUACUGACGCUCAUGCACGAAAGCGUGGGGAGCAAACAGG
rnacentral:rRNA from 1 species